rnacentral:snoRNA from 1 species
CCCCUCUAAGUGUCGCACCUGGAGAGUUUCCAGUAUUCUACCAGUCUCGGCUAUGGGAGGGGGAGUCAAGCAGAGGCCUAUCCAUUCCAUUUCUAGCUUGGGCAGUGGCUAGCGAGUGGAAGGCCAUCUGCUACAAGU